rnacentral:rRNA from 1 species
GACGAACGCUGGCGGCGUGCCUAAUACAUGCAAGUAGAACGCUGAAGGAGGAGCUUGCUUCUCUGGAUGAGUUGCGAACGGGUGAGUAACGCGUAGGUAACCUGCCUGGUAGCGGGGGAUAACUAUUGGAAACGAUAGCUAAUACCGCAUAAUAGUAGAUGUUGCAUGACAUUUGCUUAAAAGGUGCAAUUGCAUCACUACCAGAUGGACCUGCGUUGUAUUAGCUAGUUGGUGGGGUAACGGCUCACCAAGGCGACGAUACAUAGCCGACCUGCGAGGGUGAUCGGCCACACUGGGACUGAGACACGGCCCAGACUCCUUCGGGAGGGAGCAGGAGGGAAACUUCGGCAAUGGACGGAAGUCUGACCGAGCAACGCCGCGGGGGUGAAGAAGGUUUUCGGAUCGUAAAGCUCUGUUGUAAGAGAAGAACGAGUGUGAGAGUUGAAAGUUCACACUGUGACGGUAUCUUACCAGAAAGGGACGGCUAACUACGUG